CAGCUGUAAACGAUGCAGACUAGGUGUUUGGACGGCCACGUGCCGUUCUAGUGCCGCAGGGAAGCUGUUAAGUCUGCCGCCUGGGGAGUACGAUCGCAAGAUUGAAACUUAAAGGAAUUGGCGGGGGAGCACCACAAGGGGUGAAGCUUGCGGUUUAAUUGGAGUCAACGCCGGAAAUCUCACCGGGAGCGACAGCAGUGUGAUAGCCAGAUUAAAGGUCUUGCUAGACGAGCUGAGAGGAGGUGCAUGGCGUCAGUG
rnacentral:rRNA from 1 species